GAGGGUAUAGCUCAGUGGCAGAGUGUCUGCCUAACAUUUAUGAGGUCCUGGGUUCAAUCUCUAGUACCUCCA
rnacentral:tRNA from 1 species